UUGGAUUUUACACCUUAAACCAAGGCUCAUAUCAAUCGAAGGGGUUGAAAUCCAGUGACAACUUGCAUAUGGAGCCCCAAUGUCACACGAGAUAUGUACUGCUAUCUUUCGGAGGCUUGCCCAACUGGAUCAGUCUUGCUCUAAGGACACGCCUGGCAACAUUUGGAGGAAGUACAUAGAGCCUGACUUUGCUACAACUGUUUUGUCCAACGCCGAUCCAUUGACCGUUCAAUCUAUCCGCACUGGGUUUCAGGAAGGAACAGGUGUUUGCAACCCAGCUUCAUGCCGAAUGUGGUUCAUCCCAGCAAUUCUUCCAGACGGAUGGGCUGUAUAUCUUUUUGAUAUGACGCGGAAACGAAUCAUUGUGUUAGACCCAGCAGUUGGCCCAUUUGGGUAUAGCAAUCAGCGGGUCAGCAUGCACGAGUUUGUAAGCAACAAACUGCAUGCUGCCCUGUUCAACUGUCUACAUAGUUUCUUCAGUUCUUGGCAUUGUGAUUCCACUAACUAGGGACGCACAUUCCGGGUCAUAAUGCGGGAAAAAAUCGAGAGAGAUGAAAUUGGCUUGGGUGCUACUUUCUUUGCUAGGAAUUAUGACGGUGACAGGCUACAAAUCCCGCUGACAAAAGUAAUUACUUUGAAAUGUUAAACUUUUCUUCGUUUCUUUUUUUUCACUAGAUUUUUUUGGUUCUUUCUUUUCUUCGGAUUAAUUUUCUCCUUUUCAUUUUCUUUUGUUUUCUCUUGCAUUUUCAUUGUUUUCUAUAAACAUUUUAAUGUAUAUAUCUAAUGCACUUUUCUAAUAAACUUUAAAUAUUUGUCAAGUACAAGAUUAACAUUGAUUGAAUAGAUGGUUAACAUUCUUUAACAGACAUUUACCAUGCUUGAUUAAAAUUUUGAAAUACUAGAUUAACAAUUUUUAAUACAUGGGCAACAUUUUUUCUAUACACAUUUUACAUUUUUUUUCAAAUCCUUAAUUCAAUUUUUUUGAAAUACAAGUUUAACAUUUUUCAAUACAUGGUCAACAUUUUUUGUAUACACACUUAACAUUUAACAAUGUUUGCUUAACAUUUUUCAAAUACUAUAUUAAUAUUUUUUAAUCGAAAUAUGUAAGUGGCAACCGUGUGGCAGAUUGCGAAACUGCCACACGCAUCGCCCUCCCGAUCUCCUUCCUUUCCCGCACGUCCUCGUGAUCUCCUACUUCCUUCCCCGCACGCCUCCCGAUCUCUUUCCUUUAUCGCCCUCCUGAUUUCCUUCCUUUCAAUUACCAGUUACAGCCCCACGCGCCUUCCAGAUUUUUGAGCAAAAAUAAUGCUUGAAUUGGGAUUUAAUCUCUGGUCUGCAGGUAAUCAACGAAGGGAGCUAACCAUCUCGCCUAUGACACUCAUUGUUGAACAAGCUAAGAAAAAUAUUGUUUUUGACAUGUUUUGCCUUCAAUAUUUUAGCACUGAAAAGCUUUUGUUUCACCUAUCAAACCUGGCACAUAAACUUUUUUCGUGGUAAAUUCUCCAUCACCACCACGAUAAAUGACGCACCAUCAACAUGAUAACUUUUGUAUACCACGCGGUACAUUAUGUGUAAGUAGCAUGGUCAUAAGCAUUGAAGGCGUGAUAACUUUGGUGAAAGCAUCAUGGUAACUUUGAUCACUGGGAAGAAAUUUGUUGAACCCCGACCCCCGGUAAUUUCUGUAAAUAGCAUGAUAACUUUCACGCCAUAGACCUGAUAAUUUAGAUACAAACCUCGUGGUAACUUUAACCAUUGGGGAAGAAAAAUGUGAAAAGAUACCAGAUAAUUUAUGUGUAAAUAUAUGGUAAUAUACGCAGCGCACAUCUGAUAACUGAGAUAGAAACACCAUGGUAACUUUGACCAUAGGGAAGAUUUUUUUUAAGAUACUCCGGUAUCUUCUGUGUAAAUAGUAUGGUACUAUACCUCACUCCUCUGGUAUUUUCAUGUGUAAAUAGCAUGAAAACAUAUGCACCGCGAUAACUAAACAUCAUGAUAAGUUUUUGACCCGUGGGGGGGGGGGGAUUGUGCUGAAACAUACCCCUGUUAAAUUUUGUGUAAAUCGCAUGAUAUUUUAAGCACUGCGGCUUGAUAGGUUACCUAGAAUCACCAUGAUAACCUUUUGUCCCGGCGAAAAGUUGUUCAAAACAUCCCGAUAACUUUUUUUUGUGAAUAACAUGAUAAUAUAAGCACCGCAUAACUGAUAACUUACAAUAUAAACAUGAUGGUAACUUUUUUAUCAAAGGAAAACAAGUUGUUAAAAACAUAAACUCACCUCGCGGAGCCUCUUAGAUGAACACAACACAUGAUGUGCCAUAGAAAAGCCACAUAACAUUUAGUGUCAUGAGGAGGCACACAUGCUCAUGGGUUGGCCCAGAAAAACGGCCCACUUUGACCCGCUAUAGGCGUGAUAAGUUACGCAAAAACAUCGUGGUAAUUUUUGACCUAUGAAAAAAGUUACCGAAACACACCCAGGUCUUUAGGUGUAAGUACCAUGAUAAUAUACGAACUAUAGACCUGGUAACUCAUGUACAAUCCCCAUGGUAACUUUGACCAGGGACAAGAUUGAUGUACACAUACCCUGAUAACUUAUGUGUAAGUACCACGGUAUUUUACACAUCGAAGACCUUAUAACACAAUGGUAACUUUGAAAGGGGUGUAGUUGUUGAAACAUAUUACCUGGUAAGUUCUAUGUAAAUAGCACGGUAACUUACGCAACACAGGCCUGAUAACUUGCAUGCGAAUACCAUGGUAACUUUGUCCUGAGGAAAAUUCGUGCUAAUUUUCUGUACUUUUUUGUAGUAACACAAUUGUAAAAAAAGAGAUCAAAACGAUUAGUUUCUUUAGUUUGAGCAACAAAUACUAAGGGUGAGGUUGUUGUGGUGGCGCGCUUUGGUGCCAAGAAGGUGUGGGUUUGAAUCCCACAUGCACAAUUUUUUUUAUCAUGUGGUAGACGUGAAGAAGUGGCAAUUUUCUCAGGGGUGGGCGCGCGAGAUGUACGGGAGAACCAGGUUUCUCGGGCGAGCCUGCAGGGUCGUUCGGCAGAAAGUGGGGUCGAAGGAAGGGGGAUCAUGUGAUACUUUAAAGUGAAAGAAGUAGAGAUGUGGCAGUUUUACUUAUAUGACACACAUGUGUCAAAUAUCAUAGUCCUUUUUUAAUACAUGGUCAACAUUUCCUCUAUACACAUUUAACAUUUUUCAAAUGAUUGAUUAACAUUUUUCAAAUGCUUGAUUAACAUUUUUUAGUAUAAGUUUAACUUUUUUUAUACAUGGUCAACAUUUUUCUAUACACAUUUUACAUUUAUUCAAAUAGUUCAUUAAUAUUUGUCAAAUACAAGUUUAAUAUUCUUCUUUGAAUACACGGUCAACAUUUUUCAAUACACAUUAAAAAAAUUAAAUGCUUGAUUAAUAUUUUUCAAAUAUUUCUUUAACAUUUUUCCAAACGAUUGGAUUAACAUUUUUAAAACAAAUUAUCACUUUUUUCACACACAUUAUGUAUUUUUCAUAUACAUGAGAAAACAUUUUCUCCAUGCACAUUUAACAUUUUCAAGUGCUUGGAGUAUUUUUUUAAAUAUUUUAUGUAAUUGUUUUUUAGUAUAUUUAUUUAGAAUAUGUGUAAGUAUAAAUGAAAUUAAUAAAAUGAAAUAAAAACAAAAAAGUGUAAAAAAAAGAAGAUAGUGGCCUUCCGCGCACUGGACCGGUCUGUAUGCUCGCACGACUUCAGCUCUCAGUUGGGAUCAAUCUGGCUCCAUCGCGCUUCCAAAGAGCGAGGCUAACCACUUGACCAGCUAAAUUCUAGUGAUUCUUUAAGCACGAACGUUUUAAAGAAUAGAAACAUAGACACACUAUUAAUUUCGCGUUACACUACAGAGUUGAGAUUUUCCAAUUAUUUGAAAACAUGUGCACAUAUUACAAAUGAAGUUCAUGCACAUGCAAAAAAAGUUUGUGUAUUCAAAAAAUAGUUCACCAAAUCAAAAAAGUUCACAAAUUCAAAAGAGUUCAUCGAUUUUCAAAAAAUGUUCAUCGAACAAUGAAAGUAGUUCAUCGAUUUUUAAAAAAAGUUCACGAAUUUGAAAAAUUCGGAUUUAGAAAAAAGUUCAUCUAAAUAGAAAAAAAUCAUCGAUUUUGAAAAAGUUCAUCAAUUUUAAAAAAAAAUCAUUGAGAAAGUUCAUCAAAUUUGGAAAAUAAGUAGCACUGGGUUCAAAUUCGAAA